rnacentral:rRNA from 1 species
GUCUACAGCCAUACCACCCUGAACAUGCCCGAUCACUUCUGAUCUCACAAGCUAAACAGGGUAUGGCCUGGUUAGUAUUUGGACGGGAGGUGUGGAAA